AUACGGAGGGUCCGAGCGUUAAUCGGAAUUACUGGGCGUAAAGCGUACGUAGGUGGCUUGAUAAGUCGGAUGUGAAAGCCCUGGGCUCAACCUGGGAACUGCAUUCGAUACUGUCAGGCUAGAGUAUAGUAGAGGGAAGUGGAAUUCCGGGUGUAGCGGUGAAAUGCGUAGAUAUCCGGAGGAACACCAGUGGCGAAGGCGGCUUCCUGGACUAAUACUGACACUGAGGUACGAAAGCGUGGGGAGCAAACAGGAUUAGAAACCCCAGUAGUCC
rnacentral:rRNA from 1 species